AGCGCAGGCACGGGCAGGCCAAGGGCUUAAAAAAGAAAAGAAAAAAAAACCCUAAUCUCUCCCCACUUCUCUCCUAUCUCUCUCUCUCGCUGCAAACAGCAGCGGCGCCCUCUUUCAUCCUCAGCCAUCACCUAUCCUGCUGCAACGACGGCCACCCUACCCACAGCUCCGUCACUCUCCCGAGUAUCUCUGUCAGCCACAACCCAGCCAAGCCCAGCAACCACAUCGUCGGCGACACCGCUCACGGCCAGCGUACCUCACGACACAACCCCGCCUCCCUCUCGGCCCCCCAUUCUCUUCCUUCUCCUGCAACUCUGUGCGCCAUCUUCAUCCGCACCAGCCACCACGCCGGUAAGCAACUGGCCACACAGUAGUGAAGCAGCCCCGCUCCCAUCCUUGCUGACAGUACACCACUCCGGCGACACCAGUGGCUACGGCUUACCCACAGAACACCCGGGAAGGUUCUGAACCUCCAGCCUGCCUCUGCAACUCUGCUGCGACCACCAACGCGGCCACCCUGCUGCUCCUCUGCCUCUGCUCCAGAACCAGCCGCACCCGCCUCUGCUGUGGCAAUAGCUUCAGGCUCCUGCAAUCCCGGCCAGCCCUAAGAACCCGCUGAUGCAGCAAGAUACCGUGAUGAGCUUAAGGAAAUUGCACCACACUUUCUACUGAAAUGUUCAAGCGAUGCAACAACCUUGUUGUGCUACAGGUGCCAUUUAAUCUCGCUGAGUUGACUGAAAAAGUUGCACAUGACGACAGGGUACAGAUUCUCAAAUUUUCCCAAGCAAAGUUGAAGGAAUUCAUUUCAUUUUGUGAGGCAACCAAAGUUGUGCCUGAAGUGGAGUUGGAAACAUCAUGCCAAGGGGGUCCAAAUGCUCUUGCUGAUUGAAGGGCUAAAAAGAUUGUUCUGUUCAUAUGCCAAAGGGUUGCAGAGUCCAAGCUGCUAGAAAUAAAAGAAAGGAAAGAGAGACGGGGAUGUUCAACAAAAGCAGCUGCAUUAUCUACUCCCAUUGAGGUUGGAGAGGAAGAUGUGCUGGAUGAUGAUGGAGAAGAAGAACGUGAGAUAUUUAUAGGCAGAGAAUAAACUAGCAGGAAUAGGAUCGUGGAGCAAAGGGAGAGAACGAGGGCUGUUUCUUCCCCAGCCGAACGCUUCAACAGAGCAGGUACUUUCCUUUUCUUCAAUCUUCCAUGGACUCCCAACAUAAACUCCACGACUCAACUGAUGACCUUUUCGACACUUCUCUGUAUCUCGAGCAAACCCAUCUUCACGAAGCGUUCGACGACGGCUACAAAGAUGGUUUGUCUUCUGGAAAAGAAGAAGGAAGACAAGUAGGCCUCAAACUAGGGUUUGAAACUAGGGAGGACCUAGGGUUUUACCGCAGUUGCAUCGAUGUUUGGACAUCCGCAGCUCGAAUUGACCCAACCUGAUUCUCUGCUAGGGUCCAUAAGAGCAUCAAACAGAUGGACGAGUUGAUCCGAGAGUACCCAGUUGCCGACUCAGAAAAUGAGAGGAUCCAAGAGAUUAUGGGGUUCUUGAGGUUGAAAUUUAGGGUUGUUUGUGCUACAUUAUUUGUGAAAUUGGAGUUUUAAGGGGUACCCAAAAAGUUCUGAGAUCAAGGAGAUUGAAUUUUGAAGGGUGCUCUGGGUUUACAGGAGAGGGAAUAUUGCUAGUUUUAGUGUUUUUUCUUCGUUUCAGAAGUUGUUAAUAUAUGUGUGUAUAAGCUUUGUCCAAUGGAGGUUUUCCACUGCAUUUAUUUAUUUUAUACAGUCGAGGUUUGGUUUAUUUGAUUUGUAUUGCUCAAAUAUUUCUUGCGUGGUAGUGAUUUUUCUCGAUGGAUUAAUUGAACCAUCUAAUUUUGCUA